rnacentral:rRNA from 1 species
UUGCGUGGGGGCACCCUGACCGCAAUGCCGCGUGAGUGACGAAGGCCUUCGGGUUGUAAAGCUCUUUUGUCAGGGAAGAAACACCGGCUCUAACACAGUCCGGGAAUGACGGUACCUGAAGAAUAAGCACCGGCUAACUACGUGCCAGCAGCCGCGGUAAUACGUAGGGUGCAAGCGUUAAUCGGAAUUACUGGGCGUAAAGCGUGCGCAGGCGGUUAUACAAGACAGGCGUGAAAUCCCCGGGCUUAACCUGGGAAUGGCGCCUGUGACUGUAUAGCUAGAGUGUGUCAGAGGGGGGUAGAAUUCCACGUGUAGCAGUGAAAUGCGUAGAUAUGUGGAGGAAUACCAAUGGCGAAGGCAGCCCCCUGGGAUAACACUGACGCUCAUGCACGAAA